CAGUCGCCGCGGUAAUACGAAGGGUGCAAGCGUUACUCGGAAUUACUGGGCGUAAAGCGUGCGUAGGUGGUGGUUUAAGUCCGUUGUGAAAGCCCUGGGCUCAACCUGGGAAUUGCAGUGGAUACUGGGUCACUAGAGUGUGGUAGAGGAUAGUGGAAUUUCCGGUGUAGCAGUGAAAUGCGUAGAGAUCGGAAGGAACAUCUGUGGCGAAGGCGACUAUCUGGGCCAACACUGACACUGAGGCACGAAGGCGUUGGGAGCAAACAGGAUUAGAGACCCCCGUAGUCCCUGUCUCUUAUAC
rnacentral:rRNA from 1 species